rnacentral:rRNA from 1 species
AUGAGUUGUUUUCAGCUCACUAAGAAAACGUGCGGGAAUCUGACUUUGAUAUCUUCAAAAUUUUGGUGGGGUGAAUCAAAUGGUGAAAGGAAAGUCUAUUGGAUCUCUUGGCAAAAAAUGUGUGCUGCAAAAAGAGUUGGGGGUCUAGGUUUUCCAGAUCCGGAGGCUUUCAACCAAGCAUUGCUUGCAAAACAGGCGUGGAGGAUUUUGCAAGAACCAACCUCGCUAUGCGCAAGGGUUCUCAAAGCCCGCUAUUUCAAGGAGCAAACAAUCAUGACAGCCACAUGCCCUUCGAACGCAUCUUAUACCUUUCGCAGUGUGCUGCAUGGGAGAGAU